AUGGAGAAUUUGGAGGGGGCGUGUCUGCUUCUGGGAGACUAGCUAGAGGCGUUUUCAGGGGUUCUGGGAGCUUAUAUGCAAGAGUUCCAGGGACCCUGGAAUGAUUGAUUAAUAAGACACGCUGAUGAAACCAGAUUUGAUGAACCGG